rnacentral:tRNA from 2 species
UUGCCCAAUAGCCAAGCGGUAAGGCACCUGACUCUGACUCAGGCACUCCGUAGGUUCGAAUCCUGCUUGGGCAGCCAA